ACGGGUGAGUAACACGUGAGCAACCUGGCUCUAAGAGGGGGACAACAGUUGGAAACGACUGCUAAUACCGCAUAACGUAUCGGGAUGGCAUCUUCCUGAUACCAAAGAUUUUAUCGCUUAGAGAUGGGCUCGCGUCUGACUAGAUAGUUGGCGGGGUAACGGCCCACCAAGUCGACGAUCAGUAGCCGGACUGAGAGGUUGAUCGGCCACAUUGGAACUGAGACACGGUCCAAACUCCUACGGGAGGCAGCAUG
rnacentral:rRNA from 1 species